GACAGGGUGCCUUCUGGCAGGUUCUGCUUUGGAAGAGAAGUGGUUAACAAUAUUAUCCGACAAAAAGACCCCUGGUGCACAGUGGUUUGUUUUUGUUUUUGUUUUUGUUUUGUUUUGCGUAGGGCUUGUUCCCGUAGUCCCUGGCUCAUUUCUGCACUAUAUCUCCUUUUUGGGGAGUGGGGUGGGGCCUCAGGGCCUGAGGGGUCCAGAAGAAGAAAGGAAGCAGAGAGGAUCCUGGAGAUUUUCUGCGAGACAGCUGGAGGAAAUCCUGUGUACUCUGCAUUCAACGUGAUUCCCAAACCAAGUGGAUCUGAACUGAUGCCUUUCUGGGGGAAGAGCCUAUUUUCCAUCUGGGAAAGUGCCUCUUUGUGUGGUGUGAGGAAACAGCAGUCCAUAGUACCUCAGGCAGCUUGUGAGGACCAGCCUUCUUACCAGAUCAAGUUUUCACUCCACAGACCUGCCUUUCUCUCAAGGAACCCCUCCAGAGCGGAGCCCCACCCUUCCCAGCUUGGGUUGAUUCGUUGCGUGAUUCUGCAGGUGGAUUAGCAGGAAUAAUGGACUUAACAGCCACCACCUAUGUGCAAGGGUCUUUGGGACUGUGUUGGACUGACUGAAGUGCCUACCUCAAUCAGCAAAUGCAAAUUGCAAUCAAGAAAAGAAUCCAGAACUCAGGGCAAGAGAUGCAGAGACAAACAUCAGAACAGAGACAUGAGGCAAAACCAGGUAUAAGAAAUCAUUCAAGAAAGAAAAGAGAAAUCAUUCCGUGUCAGAAGCCAAUAUCAUCAGAAGCAGGUCCUGGGACUAAGAUCUGAGACUGCAGUCCGGGCCUCAGGAAACCUCUCAAGAUGCGGAUGCAGUCCCCACCAUGUGUCCUAAUUGUCUUGCUCUGGUGACCCUCGUUACCUCUCUGCCUCUUCACUUAGAUUCUUCAGGUCAGUUGUCCAGCUGGACUUUCUAUGUGGCUUUGUGCAUAAUAAACAUGGUCUGUGU